rnacentral:lncRNA from 1 species
CCUUCCCUACCCUCCCGUCCUCUUUCACUUUCAUUUUUGUCUUUCUCUAUUAAAAAGUCAACACAAGAUGUUGACAUGGCUUAAACGUGACUAUUCAAAUAGGAGGGGAGGGAAGGAGAAGGGAAGCGAGGAGAGAAUCCUACUCCAUACUAAACUUUAUAUAGAAUUUCAAUCAAGAACACUGGACAACAAUUAUCGAGCUUUUUCCGCUCAUCAAUUAAAGUCAAUCCUAGAUGCGAUUCGAGCAUUUCUUCGAUGCAAUUAACAAUUUAACAUGAUUAGGAAGGUAUCCAAAAAGAGGUCGCACUUGGUGCGAUGGCAAGUGCCUUCGCCCAUGAGCGGUAGGUCUCGGGUUCGAGACUUGGGAGCAGCCUCUCCAUAAAUAGGGGUAAGGCUAGCCGACAUUCACCUCUCCCAGACCUUGCGUAAAGCGGGAGCCUUGUGCACUGGGUACGACCUUUUUUAGGAAGGUAUCCAAAACUAGAGAAAUGGGAAAGUACAUAAGUAAAUAAGUAACUGUAUGUUAAACAGGUAAAACCUAAUUGCACAGUAACUAAUAACUACAAUUAACUUAAGCACGGAAAUGAAGCCGAACCUGAUGAAAACCAC